UACAGAGGGUGCAAGCGUUAAUCGGAAUUACUGGGCGUAAAGCGUGCGUAGACGGUUACAUAAGUCGGGUGUGAAAGCCCCGGGCUCAACCUGGGAAUUGCAUUCGAGACUGAAUAGCUAGGGUACGGUAGAGGGAAGCGGAAUUUCCGGUGUAGCGGUGAAAUGCGUAGAUAUCGGAAGGAACAUCAGUGGCGAAAGCGGCUUCCUGGACCAGUACCGACGUUCAGGCACGAAAGCUAGGGGAGCAAACGGG
rnacentral:rRNA from 1 species